rnacentral:rRNA from 1 species
UCAUGGGACUCAAUUUGGAGUUUAUUUUGUCCAUCUAAGAUAAAAAAAAUUGUUUAGAGGGUGCUUCAUAGCGUGAUCCCCUGCAGAUCAAUCCUUGCUAAUAAGCAUAUAAAAUUCAAUCUAAGUUGCCCUGCGUGCGACUUAGGGCCGGACAACAUCAAACAUUUGUUGCUUCAAUGCAAGCUAGCUAUGGAUGUGUGGAAAAUGCUAGGCGUGGAUGAUAUCAUCAAAAAGGCCAUCGGAGUGGACCGGGCUGGAGAAGUGAUACUUGAACACUUGUUGUGUUUGAAGGAUCAUGAAGUUCAUAUCCUGGGCCUACCUAAAUUGAGAGAAAUAGUAGCCAAUGCAGCAUGGUACAUGUGGUAUGAACGGCGGAAAUUAAAUUGUGGAGAGGCCACCCAAACUACAGCUCAAAUCAGUGUGGCCGUGAGAUGA